AGAAGUAAUCGAUAAAAAAGUAACAUUACAUGAAUUGCAAGUAAACCAUGAAAAAAUAUAUGAAAUAUCGGACUUCUUUCUAAGAGUAAUUAUGUCGCCGACUCCAGCGAGGUGUUUUAAGGCAUUUCCGCUGAAUUUUCCCACGACGAAGCAUCGAAGAUGAAAUGCGUUAUUUCUGCUAUAGCAUAGUGUUGUUGGCAUAAUCGAAUUCAAAGUUCAUCAAGAAUCUACAGCCUGUAGUACAGCUGGCAGUAAUGUUAAUCACACAAGAUAGAACUUACAGAGCAACUUCAAAACAACAGCGCACUUACAUGUAGUAGCACUUCAGACAGUUUCAGGAAUGAGGAAAAGAAACAACCUCCUGAAACAACCACCAACCUUCAAGUAUAAAAGGAUGACAAAUGUAAAUGCAGGGCCAGACGGAAAAUAGCAGUGAAGUUUGUUGGUAGAAAAUUAUACACCUAUAGACAGUAUGUGAAAAAAAGAAGAAAACAAAGAGGUAAAAGGGUACUGUACUCGAUGUUGUUUCAGUUCCCUCAUAAGUCAUGUUCACAAAACAGCUGCUGCAGCUCCACACAAAAGAAUAUAACCUGAGUACCUGAGGAAAACCUGUUUCCAAUGCUAUCAAUUAUAUUGAAAAGAAGGAAUUGCAUUUAAAAAAUUGUGUAUCAGUCAGUUGAAAUGAAGAGCAUAGUUCACAGUUCAUACAGCAAAACAUGAUAACGUAUAUUUAACUUGUGGAAUUAAUGUGAUAACUUCAUGAUUGUAAAUAAAAUGAGGGCUGUAUGAUAUCUGUUUUAUAUAAUUAAAUAGUAAACAGUUAGCGUAAAGUGGUACUACAAGAAGAAGCGAAUGAAUUAUAAGGCCAGAGUCAACAGGAGAACGUUAAUUUCAAGAUUAUAAAAGUUUUUGAAAUUACAUGUGUGUGUUUAAUGUAAUUAAAUACUUAACACUUGGCAUAAAGUGGUAUUACAAGAUAAAGUGAAUGAAUUAUAAGGCCAGAAUCAAGAGGAGAAGGCUAAUUUGAAGGUUAUACAAGUUUUUGAAAAUACACCGGAGCUGUCAUACUUAAGUGUCAAAGUGGUAUUACCGGAUGAAGUGAAAAAAGUCCAGAACCAUUAUAAUUUCUUGAAACUACCUUAAAUACUGUAGCUGAGAAGUGAAUGUUGAUGUUUUUGCUUUGCUUGAAAAUGAUAGAAAUUAUGCCAAUUUCAAUGACGGGCAUAUUUUGUGACAGUCUGGCACUCUUGUUAAUAAAUGUAAAUUUUUA